AUUGAACGCUGGCGGCAUGCUUUACACAUGCAAGUCGAACGGCAGCGCGGGCUUCGGCCUGGCGGCGAGUGGCGAACGGGUGAGUAAUGCAUCGGAACGUGCCCAGCCGUUGGGGAUAGCCCGGCGAAAGCCGGAUUAAUACCGCAUACGACCUGAGGGUGAAAGCGGGGGACCGAAAGGCCUCGCGCUAUUGGAGCGGCCGAUGUCGGAUUAGCUAGUUGGUGGGGUAAAGGCUUACCAAGGCGACGAUCCGUAGCUGGUCUGAGAGGACGACCAGCCACACUGGGACUGAGACACGGCCCAGACUCCUACGGGAGGCAGCAGUGGGGAAUUUUGGACAAUGGGGGCAACCCUGAUCCAGCCAUGCCGCGUGCGGGAAGAAGGCCUUCGGGUUGUAAACCGCUUUUGUUCGGGAAGAAAUCCUCUGGGCUAAUACCCCGGGGGGAUGACGGUACCGGAAGAAUAAGCACCGGCUAACUACGUG
rnacentral:rRNA from 1 species